rnacentral:rRNA from 1 species
CAAUAGCGUAUAUUUAAGUUGUUGCAGUUAAAAAGCUCGUAGUUGGAUUUCGGAUGGGAUUUGCCGGUCCGUCGUUACGAUGUGCACUGGCCAGUCCUAUCUUGUUGUCGGGGACUAGCUCCUUGGAUUCACUUCCUGGGACUAGGAGCUGACGAGGUUACUUUGAGUAAAUUAGAGUGUUCAAAGCAAGCCUACGCUCUGAAUACAUUAGCAUGGAAUAACACGAUAGGACUCUGGCUUAUCUUGUUGGUCUGUGAGACCAGAGUAAUGAUUAAGAGGGACAGUCGGGGACAUUCAUAUUUCAUUGUCAGAGGUGAAAUUCUUGGAUUUAUGAAAGACGAACUUCUGCGAAAGCAUUUGUCAAGGAUGUUUUCAUUAA